rnacentral:rRNA from 1 species
AUUGAACGCUGGCGGCAGGCCUAACACAUGCAAGUCGAACGAGUGGCGGACGGGUGAGUAAUGUAUGGGAACGUUCCUAAUGGAGGGGGAUAACUACUGGAAACAGUGGCUAAUACCGCAUACCAUCAGAUGUGCCCAAAUGGGAUUAGCUAGUAGGUGGGGUAAAGGCUCACCAAGGCGACGAUCCGUAGCUGGUCUGAGAGGAUGACCAGCCACACUGGAACUGAGACACGGCCCAGACUCCUACGGGAGGCAGCAGUGGGGAAUAUUGGACAAUGGGCGAAAGCCUGAUGCAGCCAUGCCGCGUGUGUGAAGAAGGCCUUCGGAUUGUAAAGUACUUUCAGCGGGGAGGCGUUACCUGCAGAAGAAGCACCGGCUAACUCCGUGCCAGCAGCCGCGGUAAUUC